CUUAGCGGCCAUAGCGCGGUGGUCCCACCUGAUCCCAUGCCGAACUCAGAAGUGAAACGCCGUAGCGCCGAUGGUAGUGUGGGGUCUCCCCAU
rnacentral:rRNA from 1 species